rnacentral:tRNA from 1 species
GGGAAUGGCUCAGUGGUAGAGCGUUACCUUGCCAAGGUAAAUGUCGCGAGUUCGAAUCUCGUUUCCC